GGUCCUGGCUGCUGGGGACAUUUUGCACCUUCACUUAAGAUGAACCUGCUGCUGAUUUUCCUGUUCAUGCUGGUGAUCCCUUUAGGUGUCCUCUCCCAAGCGCAGCUGAAGGAAACGGGCCUGGGAGCGGCGAAACCGAGGGAGUCCCUAACACUCACUUGUGCCAUCUCCGGAGAUUUGGUUUCUAGCACCAGCACCACGGGGGCCUGGUUCCAGCAGCCUGUGGGGAAAGAGCCAGAACUGGUGGCAUGUAUAUUGUAUAGAUCUAGAAGUUGGCACACUGACUAUGCCAGCGCUUUGCAGAGUCGAGAGAUCAUCUCCCAAGACACUUCCAAGAACCAGUUCUCCCUGCCGCUCUGCUCACUGACAGCUGCAGACACCGCCACCUAUUACUGUGCCAGAGACAUAGAGACACAGAGCAAAGAAGGGACUGGCACAAGAGGGGGAAGUGGAUUCUGA